rnacentral:rRNA from 1 species
UACGAAGGGGGCUAGCGUUGCUCGGAAUCACUGGGCGUAAAGCGCACGUAGGCGGCUCUUUAAGUCAGGGGUGAAAUCCCAAGGCUCAACCUUGGAACUGCCUUUGAUACUGGGGAUCUCGAGUCCGGAAGAGGUGAGUGGAACUGCGAGUGUAGAGGUGAAAUUCGUAGAUAUUCGCAAGAACACCAGUGGCGAAGGCGGCUCACUGGCCCGUAACUGACGCUGAGGCACGAAAGCGUGGGGAGCAAACAGG